GCCGCCAUGUUCUCUGUGUGUCUUUGUCUUUUGUGUGUUCUUUCAUUCUCCACCACCCCCGGCACGGACCCCAACAAGUGGCGCAGGGAGCAGGGUCAGCACGGGGAGCGGACCUGAGUGGUUUCCUACAAGAUGAUUGAAACCCUGUUGAAAAGAAAACUGGAUUCAGCAUGCAUUUCUUCUUUUGUUGGAUGUGCCUCGGCGGGGGACUUAUUUCCCUUAGUGAGGCUUUGUAUGAAUAUUGCACUUAUAUUCCCUUUCCACCCUUGUAUCAGGGAGUCGCCUGGGGAGAGGCGGAAAUUAAGGUUUUCACCAAUGACACUACUUGGAUGCCGUCCCCCUAUAUAGACAAGGACAAUAUAGAACAGGAAACGGGAAUUAUAAACAACACAUAUCAAUUUGGAGUGGAAGAACUUCCAAUAUGCAUGGGAAAUAGUUCUCAUUGUCUCCAAAAAUUGCAUGAAGCCUGGGUUGUUCGCUAUAAUCAGUCAUGUGGCUGCUAAUACUGUUAUUAUAAUCAUACUGUAUAUAGUAAUGAAACUAUUCCUAGUUCUUUAUCUUUUUGUCCUAUUCCAGAGGUUUCUCCUAAUAUUGAGGUGCUGGAGUGGCAACAAUGUCGGGGAAAUAAACCCCGGAUUUUAUUAGAAUACAAUGGGAUGCAAAUAACUGAUUGAAGUGUGCACGGUGAUUUUCAAACAAAAUUUAGUCACAUACCUUUGAAAUGGCACCGGGUAAAUAAAAGUAUUGCUG